UAGCACAUUAUUGUAGCACGUUUUACUGAACUGCUAUCGUAGAUGAUUUAGAAAUUUUCGUAUUAUAUAAUAGCAUUAGAUAAACACUAUGAUAGAGAAAAACCUAAAAUAACACUUAAUUAAAGCUAUUUUAAGAAUUACGUGAACGGGAAAAAUAAAAUCAUCAUUUCACCAACACUUAGCGGAAAUUUAGAUUUAAGCGCCAAAAAUAUUAUUUAAGCGGCUUAAUAAAACUACGAAAGACUUAUAAUAGCAUUUUUAUAAUGCUAAGAAAAGCUAUUUGAACCCCUAAACCUUAAACAUGGUUUUAAACCCUAAACACAACCCUUAAAACUAUAAUCUUUUUAUAUUAUAACUUCAAAUCUUAAAAUUAAACUUAAAAUUUAAUCUUCUUGAUCUUAAACUAUAAUUUCCUAACCACAUAUCCUUAAUCUUUAAUCAAUCUCUAUAUCCUAAAUCAUAACUUCAAACAUAAAUUAUACAUUCUGUGUAAACAUACAACUUUUUAAAUGAUGACAAAAAUGAUAAUCUUGAUAUUAAUCUAAUAUUUCCAAACUUAAAUAUUAAUUCUUAAAAUAAAUAUCAAUUUAUUAUGUUAAAAAUAACUUUAAACUUAAAUUCCAAAGUACAAAAUAUAAAUUUUGAAAUAAGAUAUAAGUAAGAAAAAUUAUUUACAAAACAAAUCAUCAAAGAUUGAAGGAAAAAAAAAGACAAUUUAUAAAGAGUAUUUUUUUGCUACGAUUUAGCUACGAAUUUUUUGUAGGUCUUUAUAAAAUAGCCACGAAAUGCCACAGUUUUUAUUGUACAUGCUUAAAACCCUAAACCCUAAAAUUCUUUUAAAACCUAAACCCUAAAUAUAAACCUUAAAACUCUAUUCUUUUUAAUAAUUUAACUUAAAUCUUAUAUUUAAAUUCAUAAUUUAAUUUCAAAUCAUAAUUUAAACCCCAAAUACUAUAUUCCAACCCCUAAACUAUAAACAUAAACACUAUACCCCCAAAUCAUAACCCUAAAUAUAAAAUCUUAUGUUUUAAAAUUUAAAAUAUUAAACUUUACUUUUAGAUCUUAUCUUCAACCCAAAUCCCCUUACUCAAAACUUUAUAUUCCAUAUACACUAAACUUUACUAUACAUACAAUACUCUAAAUAUAAACUUCAAAACUAAAAUUUGAAAAAUUUAACUACAAAUCUUAGACCUAAUAUUCAAAUCUAAUAUUUUCAUACUCUGAUCCAAAAUCUUAAAUCAUAGUCUUGAUAUUAAUCAAAUAUUUUCAAACUUAAACAUCAAUUCUUAAAAUAAAUAUAAACUUAUUAUGUUCAAAAAAGAAAACUCUAAACUUAAAUUAUAAACUCGAAAAUACAAAAUUUUAUAUAAGAUAUAACUAAGAAAAUUUACUUAGAAAACAAAUUAUCAAAUAUUUAAGAACAAAACAAAAAUAAAAAUAGAAAAAAAAAAGACAAAAUUUCUGGCCAAUAAGAUUCAAAUACAUAGAUCACAGUCUUAACCAUUGGAUUAACUUAGAUCUAAAGGUAGAGAUUUAUUCAAUUUAAUUUUUAUUUUUUUCUUCUCUCUCUCUCUCUCUCCCUCUCUCACGACAGAUCUCAUCUCCUUCUCUGCUUUUUUUUUCCCCCGAUUCUCUCUUCUCCACUCUAACCUCUCAUUCUCAUAUCUCAUAUAUCUCUUCUCCCCCAUCUCUCUCAACGCCUCUCUCCCAUCUCUCUCAACGCCUCUCUCAUCUAACCACCACCGUGUCUCCUCCUCGUCUCACCACCACCGCGUCUCCUUCUCGUCUCACCACCACCGCGUCUCCUUCUCGUCUCACCACCACCGCGUCUCCUUCUCAUCUCACCACCACCGCGUCUCCUCCUCGUCUCCCCACCACUGUUUUUCCCCUUGUCUCACCACCACCACGGUCGACGUGGAGGAGCCAAGGUUCAUGGCGGCUGGAGGAAGCAAGGUUCAUGGCGGCUUGAGUAUGCAAGUCUCGUGGCGGCUGGAGGAAUCAAAGUUCAAGGCUGCUGGAAGAGGGACAAGGAUAUGGAGGAGGCGGCAGGAGUUUUUUCUUUAGGUUUAGGUUUUUUAGGUCUGGUUAAGUGUUCUAAAUUGUAGUGGUCUGAUUUUAUUUUUUAAUUUCUGGUUUAGUUUUGUAAACCAGAAUUAAUCUGUAAACUAAAUUUAAUUUAUUAAUAAAAUUUAUUUUAUUUUCAGUUA